ensembl:miRNA MIR21 microRNA 21
UGUACCACCUUGUCGGGUAGCUUAUCAGACUGAUGUUGACUGUUGAAUCUCAUGGCAACAGCAGUCGAUGGGCUGUCUGACAUUUUGGUAUC